GCGGAUGUGGCGGAAUUGGCAGACGCGCUAGAUUUAGGUUCUAGUGCCGCAAGGCGUGAAGGUUCAAGUCCUUUCAUCCGCACUA
rnacentral:tRNA from 2 species